rnacentral:rRNA from 1 species
UACGUAGGGUCCGAGCGUUGUCCGGAAUUAUUGGGCGUAAAGAGCUCGUAGGCGGUCUGUCGCGUCUGCUGUGAAAACCCGAGACUCAACCUCGGGCCUGCAGUGGGUACGGGCAGACUAGAGUGCGGUAGGGGAGAAUGGAAUUCCUGGUGUAGCGGUGGAAUGCGCAGAUAUCAGGAGGAACACCGAUGGCGAAGGCAGUUCUCUGGGCCGUAACUGACGCUGAGGAGCGAAAGCGUGGGGAGCGAACAGG